ensembl:lncRNA novel transcript
AGUCAGGGAGGGUGAGUUUCAGUUGGUUUCUUUAGCUCCUGUCUAUAUCAGUGCCCAGUGGUGAAUCUUGCCAGGAGAGGUGGUGACCUGAGAAAAGUCAUUCCUGUAUUCCAUCAACCAGACAAUCUGCUUGCGGUUGGAUAGCAUUGAAGCCAAAUUGCAAGCCCUGGAGGCUACUUGUAAAUCCUUAGAAGAAAAGCUGGAUCUGGUCACGAACAAGCAGCACAGCCCCAUCCAGGUUCCCAUGGUUGCCGGCUCCCCUCUCAGGACAACCCAGAUGUGCAACAAAGUGCGAUGGUGAACCCGUGAGCAACUGUGGUACCUCCACCUGUCCCACAACCUACAACUCAGCAGUACCAAGGGCUGGACGCUGGUGCCACCACACGGGUCCCGCGAAGCCUGCUGCGAAGUGAAGGAAGCCAGACACAAAAGUCUCCAUCCUGCGGGAGUCACUCACAGGACAAUUCUGGAGGACGCAAAGCUGUAGGAGCGAGGAGAGACAGGUGGUGGUUGGGGGCCGGGAAGGGGCCUGACUGCAGAGGGGCAAAAUGUGGGCUGCCUCUGUCGGGGCAGAAGUGCCCCACUCUAGACCCUUACCAAGUCGUCGGCUGUACAUCGAAAACGGGUGAGCCUUAUGUGUGUACGUGAUACCGCAAUAAACCUGACUUGUAAAAGCA